rnacentral:rRNA from 1 species
CCUACGGGUGGCAGCAGUGGGGAAUAUUGCACAAUGGGCGAAAGCCUGAUGCAGCGAAGCCGCGUGAGUGAAGAAGUAUCUCGGGAUGUAAAGCUCUAUCAGCAGGGAAGCAAAUGACGCUACCUGUAUACGAAGCGCCGGCUAAAUACGUGCCAGCAGCCGCGGUCAUACGUCGGGCGCACGCGUUAUUCGGAAUUACUGGGGGUAAAGGGAGCGUAGGUGGGGAUGCAAGUCCCGUGUGCAGGCCGCGGGGUUAACCAUGGAACUGCCGUUGAAACUGUGGCUCUUGAGUGCGGGAGAGGGAGGCGGAAUGCCUGGUGUAGCGGUGAAAUGCGUAGAUAUUAGGAGGAACACCGGCGGCGAAGGCGGCCUGCUGGACCCUAACUGACGCUGAGGCUCGAAAGCGUGGGGAGCAAACAGGAUUAGAUACCCGUGUAGUC